UACGAAGGGGGCUAGCGUUGCUCGGAAUGACUGGGCGUAAAGGGCGCGUAGGCGGUUUGUACAGUCAGGUGUGAAAUUCCCGGGCUCAACCUGGGGGCUGCACUUGAUACGUAGGAACUUGAGUGGGGAAGAGGGUCGUGGAAUUCCCAGUGUAGAGGUGAAAUUCGUAGAUAUCGGGAGGAACACCAGUGGCGAAGGCGGAGACCUGGGGAGAUAUUGACGCUGAGGUGCGAAAGCGUGGGGAGCAAACAGG
rnacentral:rRNA from 1 species